rnacentral:lncRNA from 1 species
GCACUAGAGCCAAUCGCUCUUGUACUUCAUCCCCAAUUUCCACUUGUUCUUGUCAAACUCAUUUGUGCCAAGCGCUUUAGUGAAUGGGUCUGUAGCAUUUUCCUUUCCAUCAACCUUGAAUCUCGACGUCUCCAUGUUCAAUGAUUUCUCUUGUCAAGUGAUACCUUCGCAGAACGUGUUUGGACUUUUGGUGUGAUCUUGGUUCUUUUGCUUGAGCAAUGGCUCCAGUAUU